UUGGGAAUAUUGGACAAUGGGGGAAACCCUGAUCCAGCCAUGCCGCGUGAGUGAAGAAGGUCUUCGGAUUGUAAAGCUCUUUUGUACGGGAAGAUGAUGACGGUACCGUAAGAAUAAGCACCGGCUAACUUCGUGCCAGCAGCCGCGGUAAUACGAAGGGUGCAAGCGUUGUUCGGAUUUACUGGGCGUAAAGGGCGCGUAGGCGGAUAGAUUAGUUAGGGGUGAAAUGCCAGGGCUUAACCUUGGAACUGCCUUUAAAACGGUCUAUCUAGAAAGUAAGAGGGGAUAAUGGAAUACCUAGUGUAGAGGUGGAAUUUGUAGAUAUUAGGUGGAACACCAGUGGCGAAAGCGAUUAUCUGGCUUACUCUUGACGCUGAGGCGCGAAAGCAUGGGGAUCAAACA
rnacentral:rRNA from 1 species